CAGUCGCCGCGGGAAUACGAAGGGUGCAAGCGUUAAUCGGAAUUACUGGGCGUAAAGCGUGCGUAGGCGGUUUGUUAAGUCUGCUGUGAAAUCCCCGGGCUCAACCUGGGAAUGGCAGUGGAUACUGGCAAGCUAGAGUGUGUCAGAGGAUGGUGGAAUUCCCGGUGUAGCGGUGAAAUGCGUAGAGAUCGGGAGGAACAUCAGUGGCGAAGGCGGCCAUCUGGGACAACACUGACGCUGAGGCACGAAAGCGUGGGGAGCAAACAGGAUUAGAUACCCCAGUAGUCCCUGUCUCUUAUAC
rnacentral:rRNA from 1 species